rnacentral:rRNA from 1 species
GGGGACUGCCGGUGAUAAACCGGAGGAAGGCGGGGAUGACGUCAAGUCCUCAUGGCCCUUACAUCCCGGGCUACACACGUGCUACAAUGGCAGGUACAGAGGGCUGCGAAGCCGCGAGGUGGAGCGAAUCCCAGAAAACCUGUCUCAGUCCGGAUUGAAGUCUGCAACUCGACUUCAUGAAGGCGGAAUCGCUAGUAACCGCGAAUCAGCAGGUCGCGGUGAAUACGUUCCCGGGCCUU